UAAUCCUUUGAACCGGAUGGUUUUCGGGCUGCGGAAGUGUGGCCUGGAAAGCAAAAGGGAAUGCGGAGGCAGGGACCCAGGCAGGGACUGCCAAACGCAGCCGACCCCGCGACUGUAGAGCAGUGAGGGUCUUCCAUCCGGUUUUAGUGCCGAAGGCAUGACGGAUCGCAGGGUGUGAUCGAUGCCGGACGUCUUGAGCCGGAAAAACCACUGGGGUGGCAGCGCGAUCAGCCGGGGUGGGACGCCUCUUUAUCUACGAAUCGUCCGCCUUUUCGCGACUGCCAUAAAGCCCUGGGAAGGUGAGGGAGAUCCGUUGGCGUUUUCGCCGGCAGCUGUGAGCCAGGAGACCUGCCGUCCGUGACGGGCCUUU
rnacentral:ncRNA from 2 species